CGACGCGGUCAGUGCGGUACCGAAGACACGAGCGUUGUUCGCGACCGUACGGCGACGGCGAUAAUAUCAAAUUCGUUAUUUUUUAUUUUAUUGUUUUUUUUUUUUUUUUUAUUUUUCGAAUACCGCGCGCCAGUGCGAAAACUUUUCCGGCACAACGUCGACGUGUAACAUAAUAAUAUUAUUUUCGUUUUGCCGGCGUUUAUAAAGGCGGGCGACGAAAAUGUCCGCGGACAGUAAAAAUCUGACCGGUUGUCGUGCGGCGGUCGACGGCGUUUUAUAGAAAACAAAAACAAAAAAAAAAAAAAAAAAACGUUUCGCGUACAAUAAGUUCGUUAACGAUAACUUCGCACCGUUAUUAACGCCGAGACAAGACGGAAAAAUAAACAAACCAAAAAAAAAAGAAAAAAAGAAAACAACGGUAUUAAAUUCUUAUAAGGACUCCGAAAAUCCCAGGUACAGUAUCCGUCGUGACAUUUUAACGCACGUUAAUGACAAUUGCGUAUCACGUUAGUAAUUCGUUCGUACAGAGCGGCUAUUUCGCACCGUUUAAUAUCCGUGAGUAUGUAGCCGCCGGUCUGGUUCGCGAAAUUGUCGCGAUAAAAUAUAAUCACCCGAGACAACGUAUUUUGGUAUUACUGUCUGAAAACGGAUUUACGGAACGAAACGUGUCGUAUAUCUGUGUCGCUUAGUGGACUCUCCCCGCUUCGGAAUCUCAAAAAUUAAGAGCGUCCCGAAAACGCGCGCGGGGACUCGUAUUAUACGUUUUGUACAACGGAUAUCAGGGGAAAAUGUCGAAUUAAAAAACCCGAUCUGUUUUUUACGCAACAUUCGAUCUAUUAUAGUACUUGUACUCGCAUCGUUUAUUUCGGCACGUCGUAAUACGAAUUCCCCCCCCCCCAGUCAUUGGCGCGUGUGUCGCAGGUGCUAUAUUGCGAUUUCAUAUUUUCUGUUGUGCAGGACCGAUAGGUAUCACAGACGAAUGUAUCAAUGACACAUAUCGCAUCUCGUAUCUUUUUUGGUUUCCCUAGUGUAUCUUGCAUCUCGUGUUGAGAUUCAUUAGCAGUGCCGUCGUUGAUUCGGUAUAUUCCGCAACACUUCACCAAAAAUAUUAUGUAGUUUAGCUUGGGUUCAGGGCAUUUUCCGUUCUUUGUUAUUUUUUUUUUUUUUUUUUUUUUUUGUAACGAUUCUUUUUCUGUUUUAUUUCGUUAAUUUAAUCAUCUGUACACUCACGUGCGUUCUCAAUUGACGUAGACAUUAAUUGUUUUAGCGUACCCGUGGCUCGUGCCGUAGUGGCGUUACCAGAUAAAUAUUAAUAGGAUACCUAUUCACUAUCGUAUACACAGUAUCUCGUUAAACGAUACAAGAUAUGCUUGAACAAAACACGUAUUUGACAUUAGGGUUUGUUUUAAAAGGACGAGCAAAAAUCUACCGGUAUAAAUAGCAUUCAAUAAAUACAGCUAUAUGCAUUAAAAAAUUAAAACAAACAUUUACCUUUGUUCGCUAUAAAAAAAAAAUUACGAUUACAUUUUCUUUUGAACUUUUAAUCAUAAAAAUUCUAUGUUUCAACGAUUUCUCAUAGUAUUUCGUUUAUUAUAAUUUACAAUAAGUUCUCACAAGUUAUAAAAAAAAAAAAAAAAUAUUCAUCGGAUUGAUGUUGAAUUAUGAAAAUUCAAAAAUUCAAAGUAUCUAAUAUCUCUUAUAUCUUUCCUAGUUGUGUAUCUCUUACCGUGUCUUAUAACGUAUCUCGAUUUAUGGAUCAAGAUGUUUUGGUUUUUUUUUUUUUUUUAGUAUCUCGCCCAACCCUGCUGAUACGUCAGAUGCAUUUUCGAUUUUCGUAUGGACGGGGUUCACAACGUGAAUUUUGUUUUUUUUUUCCUCCCGGGUUCCCGUGCGUAACACAACACGGGGACAAACAAAAGACUAUGCGAUCUAACCACGAGUAAACUCAACUGCAUUCUCCCAAAACUCACGUCUACCUACUAGUGAUGCAAAUUUAAAAUUCACACCCGGAUUGCGGACGGUUUGAGAUUUGUAAUUAUGUUUUGUUCCCGAUUUCAGAUGGCGGUAAACUGCGCGGCCGUCGGGCCGGCGGCGGCGGCGAUGUACGCAGUGCUCACCGUGUCCGCUGCCGAUAUUUAUUCGUGCCG
rnacentral:lncRNA from 1 species